rnacentral:ncRNA from 1 species
UCUCCCGCUUCACUCCCUGAGCGGGUGCCCCGACGCAAAGUUGGGGCGAUAUUCGCCCGGCUUUCAUCCCCUGGAGCCGGGUUUUUUUU